CCUACGGGAGGCUGCAGUGGGGAAUAUUGCACAAUGGGGGAAACCCUGAUGCAGCGACGCCGCGUGAGUGAAGAAGUAUUUCGGUAUGUAAAGCUCUAUCAGCAGGGAAGAAAAUGACGGUACCUGUUUAAGAAGCCCCGGCUAACUACGUGCCAGCAGCCGCGGUAAUACGUAGGGGGCAAGCGUUAUCCGGAUGUACUGGGUGUAAAGGGAGCGUAGACGGCAGCACAAGUCUGGAGUGAAAUGCCGGGGCUUAACCCCGGAACGGCUUUGGAAACUGUGCAGCUAGAGUGCAGGAGAGGUAAGUGGAAUUCCUGGUGUAGCGGUGAAAUGCGUAGAUAUUAGGAGGAACACCAGUGGCGAAGGCGGCUUACUGGACUGUAACUGACGUUGAGGCUCGAAAGCGUGGGGAGCAAACAGGAUUAGAUACCCCAGUAGUC
rnacentral:rRNA from 1 species